CUGUUUUUGUUUAAUCAAAAACAGUUGUACAUUAUAUGAUUUUAAAUCAGUCACUUCAAACAGUUGAUAAUAUAUGGUAAUAAGACUAUAUCACACCGAGAGGUCUUCUUUCAUGAAGUAUCUAUCACUGUAUGUGUCACUGUGGAUGUGGUUACAGCGCAGAAGUAGGCGAAAGUGCAGAAGUUUGAAAUUUUUUCAUGAUUCAGUGAAGUCUUACAAGUCUUACAAGUAUCUUGCUUGUUUAAUGUCUGCAGUCUGUAGAUGCAGCAGGUCACCAACAAAGCAUCACAACACAUCUUACCAGCACAACAGUUGACCAGUUUUUACCGGAAAUGUACAGUAACUUUCAGACGAGGGUAUGGAGAGGUAGCAGGAACUACAGACCCAUCUGGUGUGAUGAACAGGAGAAAAUGUGGCCUGGAUCUGGGAUAUUGGCGGUACCACUGUACAUUGAAGAUAUUGCCAUCAUAUUUACAGGAGAGAUUGACAUUCCUUCCCUCCUGAACCAGCUCUUCAGUAGUCAAAGGAUUUAUUGAAUCCCCCAAACUGUAUUCUGUAACAAAGUUGAGACAAAUUAAAUGUAAAUAGUUAUGGUAGUUAUAAAAUGCAUACUCAUGUCAUUAAAAUUGAUAUGGUACAAAAAUAUUUUACCAGAAUACACAUGAAUGAUUGAAAUUUCACUUUUAAUAUAAAAUACAUUAAAAAGAUUAGAACAGC
rnacentral:lncRNA from 1 species